GUAUAAGCAAUUAUACCGUGAAACUGCGAAUGGCUCAUUAAAUCAGUUAUCGUUUAUUUGAUAGUACCUUACUACUUGGAUAACCGUGGUAAUUCUAGAGCUAAUACAUGCUAAAAACCCCGACUUCGGAAGGGGUGUGUUUAUUAGAUAAAAAACCAAUGCCCUUCGGGGCUCUUUGGUGAUUCAUGAUAACUUAACGGAUCGCAUGGCCUUGCGCCGGCGACGGUUCAUUCAAAUUUCUGCCCUAUCAACUUUCGAUGGUAAGGUAUUGGCUUACCAUGGUUUCAACGGGUAACGGGGAAUUAGGGUUCGAUUCCGGAGAGGGAGCCUGAGAAACGGCUACCACAUCCAAGGAAGGCAGCAGGCGCGCAAAUUACCCAAUCCCGACACGGGGAGGUAGUGACAAUAAAUACUGAUACAGGGCUCUUUUGGGUCUUGUAAUCGGAAUGAGUACAAUUUAAACCCCUUAACGAGGAACAAUUGGAGGGCAAGUCUGGUGCCAGCAGCCGCGGUAAUUCCAGCUCCAAUAGCGUAUAUUAAAGUUGUUGCAGUUAAAAAGCUCGUAGUUGAACCUUGGGCCUGGCUGGCCGGUCCGCCUCACCGCGUGUACUGGUCCGGCCGGGUCUUUCCUUCUGGAGAUCCGCAUGCCCUUCACUGGGCGUGUUGGGGAACCAGGACUUUUACUUUGAAAAAAUUAGAGUGUUCAAAGCAGGCCUUUGCUCGAAUACGUUAGCAUGGAAUAAUAGAAUAGGACGUGCGGUCCUAUUUUGUUGGUUUCUAGGACCGCCGUAAUGAUUAAUAGGGAUAGUCGGGGGCAUCAGUAUUCAAUUGUCAGAGGUGAAAUUCUUGGAUUUAUUGAAGACUAACUACUGCGAAAGCAUUUGCCAAGGAUGUUUUCAUUAAUCAGUGAACGAAAGUUGGGGGAUCGAAGACGAUCAGAUACCGUCGUAGUCUCAACCGUAAACUAUGCCGACUAGGGAUCGGGCGAUGUUUCUAUCUUGACUCGCUCGGCACCUUACGAGAAAUCAAAGUUUUUGGGUUCUGG
rnacentral:rRNA from 1 species